rnacentral:rRNA from 1 species
UACGUAGGUGGCAAGCGUUGUCCGGAUUUACUGGGCGUAAAGAGCGCGCAGGCGGUCGUCCAAGUCGCGUGUGAAAGCCCCCGGCUCAACUGGGGAGGGUCACGCGAUACUGGUCGACUCGAAGGCAGGAGAGGGUAGUGGAAUUCCCGGUGUAGCGGUGAAAUGCGCAGAUAUCGGGAGGAACACCAAUGGCGAAGGCAGCUCGCUGGGACGUUACUGACGCUGAGACGCGAAAGCGUGGGGAGCAAACAGG